rnacentral:rRNA from 1 species
UGAGAGAGCGACCGGCCACACUGGAACUGAGACACGGUCCAGACUCCUACGAGAGGCAGCAGUAGAGAAUCUUCCGCAAUGGGCGCAAGCCUGACGGAGCAACGCCGCGUGAGCGAAGAAGGCCUUCGGGUCGUAAAGCUCUGUCCCGGGGGAAGAACAAAUGACGGUACCCCGGGAGGAAGCCCCGGCUAACUACGUGCCAGCAGCCGCGGUAAAACGUAGGGGGCGAGCGUUGUCCGGAAUUACUGGGCGUAAAGGGCGUGUAGGCGGUUGCGCAAGUCAGUAGUGAAACCCGCCGGCUUAACCGGCGGCUGGCUACUGAAACUGCGCGACUUGAGUGCAGUAGAGGGGAGUGGAAUUCCCAGUGUAGCGGUGAAAUGCGUAGAUAUUGGGAGGAACACCAGUGGCGAAAGCGGCUCCCUGGCCUGUAACUGACGCUGAGGCGCGAAAGCGUGGGUAGCAAACAGGAUUAGAUACCCUGGUAGUCCACGCCGUAAACGAUGGGUGCUAGGUGUUGCGGGUAUCGACCCCCGCAGUGCCGCAGUUAACGCAAUAAGCACCCCGCCUGGGGAGUACGGCCGCAAGGCUGAAACUCAAAGGAAUUGACGGGGGCCCGCACAAGCGGUGGAGCAUGUGGUUUAAUUCGACGCAACGCGAAGAACCUUACCAGGUCUUGACAUCCCCUGCCAGUCGUAGAAAUACGACCUUCUCCUUUGUGGAGACAGGGAGACAGGUGGUGCAUGGUUGUCGUCAGCUCGUGUCGUGAGAUGUUGGGUUAAGUCCCGCAACGAGCGCAACCCCUACCUUUAGUUGCCAGCAAGUAAAGUUGGGCACUCUGGAGGGACUGCCGUUGACAAAACGGAGGAAGG